rnacentral:lncRNA from 1 species
UCCACUACAUAAUCAUUCAUUUUCUUUACAAUUAACCAUCUAAAACUACCAUAGUUCUUCAAUCAAAGUAUAUAUCUACAUAUAUAGAGAGAGUACACUUCAUAAUUUUGUCUCUUAUCUUCCGUAAACGUAGCACGAAAAUUUGAUACCCAGUAUUGUAAGGCAGGUCAUAGAAGCAGUCUUCCUGCACAUAUUUAAAAAUAAUAGCAAGUCAGAAAAAU